rnacentral:rRNA from 1 species
UACCAGCACCCCGAGUGGGCGGGACGAUUAUUGGGCCUAAAGCAUCCGUAGCCGGUCCUGCAAGUCUUCCGUUAAAUCCAGCUGCUCAACAGAUGGGCUGCGGGGGAUACUACAGGGCUAGGAGGCGGGAGAGGCAAGCGGUACUUUAUGGGUAGGGGUAAAAUCCGUUGAUCCAUAGAAGACCACCAGUGGCGAAGGCGGCUUGCCAGAACGCGCUCGACGGUGAGGGAUGAAAGCUGGGGGAGCAAACCGG